UGACAGGGUGAUCUGGCUGCAACAUCUGUCACCCCAUUGAUCGCCAGGGUUGAUUCAGCUGAUCUAGCUGGCUAGGCGGGUGUCCCCUUCCUCCCUCACCGCUCCAUGUGCGUCCCUCCGAAGCUGUGUGUUUCGGGACGACCUUCCCCGAUAAAGGAGGAUCUUUCUUCUGGUCAAGGGUAUAGUAGCUGCGCUCCCCUGCCAGAACCUCCAAACAAGCUCUCAAGGUGGCUCACACUUGUAAUCCCAGGGCUCAGGAGGCAGAAGCAGGAGGCUCGAUAGUUCAAAGCCAGCCUCAGCAAAAGUGAGGGGCU
rnacentral:snRNA from 1 species